rnacentral:rRNA from 1 species
CCCUUAGAUGUUCUGGGCCGCACGCGCGCUACACUGAUACCUGCAACGAGUUUAUAACCUUGAUCUGACGGUCUGGGUAAUCUUCAAACUGUAUCGUGUUAGGGAUCGAUUCUUGCAAUUUUUAAUCGUAAACGAGGAAUUCCUAGUAAACGCAAGUCAUCAGCUUGCAUUGAUUACGUCCCUGCCCUUUGUACACACCGCCCGUCGACUCUACCGAUUGAAUGGUUCGGUGAAAACUUUGGACUGUGGCAUUGUCCUUCAUUGGACUUCGCCGUAGGAAAUUGUUUAAACCUCAUCAUUUAGAGGAAGAAUAAGUCGUAACA